rnacentral:rRNA from 1 species
GAUGAACGCUAGCGACAGGCUUAACACAUGCAAGUCGAGGGGCAGCGGGGAGUAGCAAUACUCUGCCGGCGACCGGCGCACGGGUGAGUAACGCGUAUGCAACUUACCUAUCAGAGGAGAAUAGCUCAUCGAAAGAUGAAUUAAUGCUCCAUAAAACAGGGGUCCCGCAUGGGGAAUAUUUGUUAAAGAUUUAUCGCCGAAAGAACGGCCCGCGGAAGAUUAGGUAGUUGGUGGGGUAACGGCCUACCAAGCCGACGAUCUAUAGCUGGUCUGAGAGGACGAUCAGCCACAUUGGAACUGAGACACGGUCCAA